AACGCGAAGAACCUUACCCAGGUUUGAAAUACAGAGGACGAUAGCAGAAAUGUUAUUUUCCGCAAGGACCUCUGUACAGGUGCUGCAUGGCUGUCGUCAGCUCGUGCCGUGAGGUGUUGGGUUAAGUCCCGCAACGAGCGCAACCCUUAUCAUUAGUUGCCAACACGAAAGGUGGGGACUCUAAUGAGACUGCCCAGGUUAACUGGGAGGAAGGUGAGGAUGACGUCAAGUCCGCAUGGCCUUUAUAUCUGGGGCUACACACGUGCUACAAUGGUCGGUACAAAAGGCAGCGAAGUCGCAAGAUGGAGCAAAUCCCAAAAGCCGAUCUCAGUUCAGAUUGUAGUCUGCAACUCGACUACAUGAAGUUGGAAUUGCUAGUAAUGGCGUGUCAGCAACAGCGCCGUGAAUACGUUCCCGGGCCUUGUACACACCGAGUAUA
rnacentral:rRNA from 1 species